rnacentral:rRNA from 1 species
UAGUCAUACGCUUGUCUCAAAGAUUAAGCCAUGCAUGUCUAAGUAUAAGCAACUUUGUACUGUGAAACUGCGAAUGGCUCAUUAUAUCAGUUAUAGUCUACUCGAUAGUACCUUACUACUUGGAUAACCGUAGUAAUUCUAGAGCUAAUACAUGCAUGAAUACCCAACUGCUUGUCGGGCGGGUAGCAUUUAUUAGAUUGAAACCAAUGCAGUCUUCGGGCUGGUAUUGUGUUGAGUCAUAAUAACUGUGCGGACCGUGCUUUUGCGCGGUAAAUCG